UACGUAGGGUGCGAGCGUUGUCCGGAAUUAUUGGGCGUAAAGGGCUCGUAGGCGGUUUUGUCGCGUCGGGAGGUGAAAACCAGGUGCUUAACACCUGGCUUGCUUUCGAUACGGGCAGACUAGAGGCAUGCAGGGGAGAACGGAAUUCCUGGAUGUAGCGGUGAAAUACGCAGAUAUCAGGAGGAACACCGGUGGUGUAGACGGCUUUCUGGGACCGUAACUGACGCUGGAGACACGAAAGCGUGGGUAGCAAACAGG
rnacentral:rRNA from 1 species